GAUAUACAAUAAAAGGUGGAAAAAAUACCCAAGGUCUCGAAGAGUAAGGUUAACUUGAACUUUCCUAUUUCCAUGAGUAGGUUGUGAAUAACCAACUUGAUCCACCAGUCCAAUAACAUCUGAACACAAACAACAAAAGUUUUAAACUCCAAAAAUUGUUUGUAAUAAAUAAAUGUAAACAAACAUGAAAAUAUACCUUAUAAUAGAUCUCCAUGAAAGUCAAGGUUGACAAUCUCAGUGAAAGGUUUAAUGUUUGUGACUGGAUCACCAAUUUUAUGAACAUUGACAUCUUUAACUAUAGUUCCACCAUUGAACCUCAGCUUGUAAACAUGAUGUGAUGCUUUGUAAAGGUCAUCAUUCUUUGAAACUUGAAAAUUUUGCAUAGUGUAAGUGUUGUUCACAGUUAAAUCAAUUAGUUGUUCAGUAUUCUGAAUAAUCUCAUGAGGAAUGAAAACGGAAAUGUCAUCUCCCUGAAAUAUAAAGAAAAGCCUUUGUAAUAAUACUUGUUUGAUAGUUUGAAGUACCUAAUGAUUUGUAACUUUGAAAUUCGUUGACAAACACAGAUAAUUGUUUGAUGUUUUAAAAAUCAGGUAUCAAUCAUUUCAGAAAUUUUGUAAACUCAAAGAUCAACAAAUUGUUUUGAUGAACAAAUAAGGUCUUAAAUUUUGAACACAUACUUUUUUCACAAUGAAAAUUUGAACACAUACUUUUGAACACAUACUGUUGACACAUACUCAUUUCCAUCAAAUGUUUGAAUACACUAAUUUUUACAAAUUAUUCAACUUUAAUACCAACUAAUUUUUUGGAAUGGAUAACCAUAGAGGUAAAACAUUGCAGACAACCUUGAAUGUAAUUUUAAUGAUUUUAAUACCAACACAUCAGUUAAGAUUUUGUAAUAACCUAACAUUGUUAAAGGGGUAACCUUAUCAUCAAAAACCAGCAGCUCAAUGGACUGUUUUCCAUCCUUCAAGUUACUCUAUUUUUCUUUGACCUUCACUGAAAUCUUCCAAAGAUCU
rnacentral:lncRNA from 1 species